rnacentral:rRNA from 1 species
CGUCGAAGGUAGCAUAAUCAGUAGUCUUUUAAUUGAAGGCUGGUAUGAAUGGUUGGACGAAAUAUUAACUGUUUCAUAAAAAUUUAUAAUAAAAUUUUAUUUUUUAGUUAAAAAGCUAAAAUUAAUUUAAAAGACGAGAAGACCCUAUAAAUCUUUAUAUAUAAACAUAUUAUAAUUUUAUAGAUUUAUUUUUAUUAUAAUAGUUAAUUAUAUUUUAUUGGGGUGAUAUUAAAAUUUAAUAAACUUUUAAUUUGUUUAUAUCAUUAAUUUAUGAAUUAUUGAUCCAUUAUUAUUGAUUAAAAGAAUAAGUUACUUUAGGGAUAACAGCGUAAUUUUUUUGGAGAGUUCUUAUCAAUAAAAAAGAUUGCGACCUCG